UACGGGGGGGGCAAGCGUUGUUCGGAAUUACUGGGCGUAAAGCGCACGUAGGCGGAUAUUUAAGUCAGGGGUGAAAUCCCGGGGCUCAACCCCGGAACUGCCUUUGAUACUGGGUAUCUCGAGUCCGAGAGAGGUGAGUGGAAUUCCGAGUGUAGAGGUGAAAUUCGUAGAUAUUCGGAGGAACACCAGUGGCGAAGGCGGCUCACUGGCUCGGUACUGACGCUGAGACGCGAAAGCGUGGGGAGCAAACAGG
rnacentral:rRNA from 1 species